UUCUUUGGUGUUGGAGUGAACUUGGUAUUGUUCUUAGUCAGAGUGUUGGGACAAGAUAAUGCAACUGCAGCUAACAAUGUCAGCAAAUGGACUGGAACUGUUUAUUUGUGUUCACUUUUGGGAGCUUUUAUCAGUGACUCUUACUGGGGUCGUUUUUCUCACUUGUGACUGUUUAUUUGUGUUCACUUUUGGGAGCUUUUAUCAGUGACUCUUACUUGGGUCGUUUUCUCACUUGUGCCAUCUUUCAGCUUAUUCUCCUCCUGGUAAUAAAAUAUAGUAUAAGUAGACUUUUAUUUUAUCUUUAAUAAUAUAUUGUUAUAAUCCUAGGAAUAUCAUGACACAUGUUUAAGAUCACAAAGUUAUAAGCUAUAUUAUUCGAACUCUUCAAAAAUAUUGUUUGAUAUAUAUCGAAUCCUCAUCCGAUACGAGUGCAGUAUUAUUAUUGAAGAAUCCGUACAUCAUAGAUUACAAAAGUACUU
rnacentral:lncRNA from 1 species